ensembl:miRNA
AAAAAGUUCAUUGGGGUUUUCUGUAACAUCUUUUGGAAAAGCCCGAAUGAACUUUUUAG